rnacentral:lncRNA from 1 species
UUCAUAGAAUUAGCUUGGUUUGCGCCCAAUGUAGUAGUAGAUUGAAGUUUAAGAGCCAGGAAGUUUUAAAGAAGCUUGCGUAAGGAGAUCUAGGAUAAAAUCUCAAUUCUAAAUAUUAACGACUACCAAUAAACAUUGAAACGGGCCCAAAUUGUAGAAGAGACUACAAGCCUCAUCCCACAACAGAUCCAACAAGCUCAACCAUUUAUACCAAAUAAUAAGAGGAAGACCU